CAUUUUUAUCCCCUGUUCCGCCUUUGCCUCUGGGUUCUGUGAGUUGCCAGAGCUCUCUGCCACCGGGAACCAACAUUCGAGCUGCCCAAGAAACCACCAUUAGAACCACUACUGUUUUGAGAUUAUUGUAAAUUACCUUGCCGCCACCGUUACUGGAGGUAGCUGCCGGCUCUAUUUGGAGACUGCUGCUAAGUCACCACCGAAGCUAAGAACAUGUGCUGGGAUCGGAUGGAGCACCGCUGCUGCUAUGGAUUCAUAAUAUUGGGUUUACUGCGUUUAAAUUCUUCAAUUAUAGCUAAUUGAGUGACACAGGUUCGAAGACACAGUUUGAAGCUGCAGGCGAUUAUAGAAUUUAUUCAUGAGUUAAGUGUAUGAGUUAAUUUGCUUUCAUAGAGUUCCCUCGCCCUUAUUACUUUAGUCUUUAUUUUAUAUAGAGGGACAGGAUUUGUAUCUUAGUUUUAUUCGAAAUCUUUUGUAUGACAGAUAUUAUUAUUAAUAAUUAUGUGAUUAUUAUUACUUUGAAA